UACUUUAGUGGACUACCAUG
rnacentral:rRNA from 1 species